rnacentral:rRNA from 1 species
UACGGGGGGGGCAAGCGUUGUUCGGAAUUACUGGGCGUAAAGGGCCAGUAGGCGGCCAACUAAGUCCGACGUGAAAUCCCAAGGCUUAACCUUGGAACUGCGUCGGAUACUGGAUGGCUUGAAUUCGGGAGAGGGAUGCAGAAUUCCAGGUGUAGCGGUGAAAUUCGUAGAUAUCUGGAGGAACACCGGUGGCGAAGGCGGCAUCCUGGACCAUAACUGACACUGAUAAGCGAAAGCCAGGGGAGCAAACGGG